GUCUCACACGCAGUAUGUCACACCAUCUGUGAGCUAUGACCAGAUAAUGCUACUGCUUCUGCAAAGGCCUCAGAAUCAGUCACACAAUUGUCUGCAACUCCGAACAGCAGCUGCAAGAUCACAACUGUGCACAGUAGUCCCGCCCCAUAGACUGUUGCGGUUCCUUAGCCCAAAUCCAUCAACAGAAAAUGUGGAGGGCAUAUGGGAAGAGAGAGAGCUGUGUGUGCUGUGGACCUCCCAGAUGGCUGCCAGCCCCACAGAGAGUGAGGCAGCAGUCCCAACCAGUGGAACACUCUUAAGAGCUGUAAGAAGAAAGUUUUAAGAGGGAAGUUCAUGUUCAAGCUAUCCUGCAAGCUCCACAGAGGAUGUCAAAACCUGCUGAUAUCUAGCAGAGUCAACUCCAAGUUUGUGUAUCCUGGUCCACUCUACCUUUCCAUCAGGCAGUACAUGUGGAAAUGGAAAAGUAGCUCUCUAAUUAAUCAAAGUCAGAUCUGCCUGAACGCCUGGAGUUGCUGCUGAUCCUUGUCCCAGCUUCUACCAUGUUCUCUCUCUAUGUUUUUUACCUUGAAAACUUCUGCUCUGAGCUGGGAAUGCCUGAAGGGCUUGCACGGAGUAAUUUCAAAGGAGCUGUUAACACUUUCAUGUCUGAAACUUUCUUACUAGCAAGAGGGAGAACUGAAGGAAUGAGAUUCAAAGACAAUUCAGUGCAGCUGUAAGUCUGACAACACUGCUGAUACAGUUUAAUUGAGGACUAAUUGGAACUAAGAGGGCUAGUUAUUUUGUCAACUGCACGUAUAUUAGUUCCAGUCAUUUUUAAUCCGAUGUAACGGUGAUAAAGAGUCUAACUUACUUUGUUUAGUUAAUAACAUUAGGCCAGAAAGAAUCACCUAGUCAUUUCAUGUUACUCGAUACACUGCUAAUAUAAACAAUGUCUAAUUACACUGACGACAUACUUCCAUGAAAUGACCAAUUAGAACAUUUACUCAUUCUAAAUGUAUGCUAUUAGAUACAUUUCCACAGGCUUUCUGGUAUUAAUAAAUUAGACAUCAGCUAGUAGGAAGUGUAAGAACAGAAUAUGCGGGAGAAAAAGUUCUUUUUAAAUAGGACAAAGAAUAUUUCAGUAUGCAGAUACAGUAUACUAGGGGCUGUUACCUCCCAUAAAGGUUCUCCCCCAACACCUUGCCCCCACCAAAUUUUACAAAUGAAAAGAAACUUAUUCUCUGGGAGCAUGAAAUUUUGCAAAUUUGUAUACUCUUCUUGCUGAAUCAAGAAGCUCAUACCACGUCUUCAAGAUGCAGGAUAAAGGAGGCAUGUGUUAGCAUUUUAAUAUUUAGACCCACAAACCUACAGCGAUUUGCGUUCAAUUUCAAAACUGAUUUAUUGGCUGUGAUGUGCAGUCAGUAUGAAUAAUACAGAAGUGUCUCUUAUUUAUUUUAUUUAUUUUACUUUACUUAUGUGUCAAUAGCUUCCGCCAGAAAAUAUCAGUCCAGCAUGUAACAACAUCUUACAGAGUGACACAAUCUGAUAACAAAAUCAAAACAGAAAAAUAUAAUGAGAACAAUCUCAUCCUCAUCUGAAGAAAAAAUGCUGAUUGUUCAAAACUGCUAUUUUAAUGAUUGAAUGGCUAUCCCUUAUGUAAUCAUGCUGAAAAUUUUGCCGGUUAGUUAAAGUAAAUAACAGCGCACCAGUAUGUGCAUUACCAAAUCAAACUAGCAUAAAGUAUUAGAAAUACUGGAAAAAAUGAGACAGCUAUUUGUGCAACUUAGAUAAAAGAAAGGCAUUUAGAAUAAAUGCAUGAAGUACAUCAAAACAAAAAAAAAAAAAAAGAAGAAGAAACUGAAAAAUGAUCUGAAAUCAUUGAUAUUAAUAGUUACUGCACAGAUGCCUAAAAUACUUGACUGCUACACAUGUCGACAUGAGAACAAGGGAGAAUGAGGGAAGAGAAGGAAAGAACUGAAAAAGUGCAAAAAGAAAGGAGGGAAGGAAGGUGAGCCUGGAACACACUCCUCAGUUGUCUGACUGCCAUCUUCAGGGGAAAAGGGAUCUGAGAUGAAAACUGCUCAUGUAAAGUAGCCUCUCCCAGAAGCUGUCCCAUUUUUCUACAGCAACAUGACCAGUAUUGACUGCUUUCUAGGAUUCCUCCACCUUUAUAGCUUAUCUCUGUCCCUGCUGUAUCGUGUUCAAACUGUACAGACCCAGCUCAACCCAAUUCCUGGCCAGUUUAAUGAUGAGCUUCAAAAUUAAGCUUACUUUUCUGAGAUGAUCUGAGAAUAGCAUUCAAGGCUAAUUGAGAAUUUUUUUUACACAUCGUUUAAAGAUAUUGAUUCUUUAACAAAUAAAAAAGGCAAAACUAGUAUAGAGGAAAAGGCUGUAUGAAUGUUUUUUCAGGGGAAAAGUAAACAAAUGGAAAAAUAAAAAAUAUAUAUUUUAAAUACUUAUCUUUUAAAAAGAAUUGUUGAAUCAUAUGAAAUUAUCCCCUUUUGGAUAGCUAUUAGCAUUGCUAUGCAUCCUAAUAUACAAGAGAAACACUGAGUAUUCCAGUGCUGAAUUCCUAUCUCGUAUGCUUUACUAUUCUCUCUCCAGCAUUAGUAUUUUGGAAUUUACCUCACUUACCCUUCCACACACUUAUGCAGUGCUGACUGAUGCUAAUAAAAGUCACAUCUACAUGUGCAGAUUAGAACUCGGUUAUCUAAAGAGUUCAAUUUGAGCAUGAAAUACAGGCAGAGCAAAUAUGGGAUACAUAAGGGAUUUUGAGACUUUGUUAAAAGUAAGGAAAUGGUACUGGGAUUUUGUUAAAUGAUAGGCAAGGAAAUCUUCCAGCUAUCACAAAGUGAUGUCAGAAUGAUAUUGCUGUGAACUGGGAGCACAGUAGGAUUUUCUUGCAGGUUGUCAGAG
ensembl:lncRNA